rnacentral:rRNA from 1 species
GUGAGUAACACGUGAGCAACCUGCCCUAGGCUUUGGGAUAACCCUCGGAAACGGGGGCUAAUACCGAAUAUGACCUCGCAUCGCAUGGUGUGUGGUGGAAAGUUUUUCGGCCUGGGAUGGGCUCGCGGCCUAUCAGCUUGUUGGUGGGGUGAUGGCCUACCAAGGCGACGACGGGUAGCCGGCCUGAGAGGGCGACCGGCCACACUGGGACUGAGACACGGCCCAGACUCCUACGGGAGGCAGCAGUGGGGAAUAUUGCACAAUGGGCGGAAGCCUGAUGCAGCGACGCCGCGUGAGGGAUGACGGCCUUCGGGUUGUAAACCUCUUUCAGCAGGGACGAAGCGUAAGUGACGGUACCUGCAGAAGAAGCGCCGGCCAACUACGUGCCAGCAGCCGCGGUAAGACGUAGGGCGCGAGCGUUGUCCGGAUUUAUUGGGCGUAAAGAGCUCGUAGGCGGCUUGUCGCGUCGACCGUGAAAACCUGGGGCUCAACCCCAGGCCUGCGGUCGAUACGGGCAGGCUAGAGUUCGGUAGGGGAGACUGGAAUUCCUGGUGUAGCGGUGAAAUGCGCAGAUAUCAGGAGGAACACCGGUGGCGAAGGCGGGUCUCUGGGCCGAUACUGACGCUGAGGAGCGAAAGCGUGGGGGAGCGAACAGGAUUAGAUACCCUGGUAGUCCACGCUGUAAACGUUGGGCGCUAGGUGUGGGGGGCCUCUCCGGUU